rnacentral:ncRNA from 1 species
GACGACCUGCCGCCGAGCGAAGGCGAGGGGGCAUUACCAGAG